UGCUCUUCUCUCUUAGCCUCUCGCAGGUGGCGGUAGGAGCGCGCAGAGGGCGCUACGAGCGCGCGCAUGCGUAGCACCCGUAGAGUGGCGCUUACGUCAGUCCACCUCUGGCUCUCGUUGGGAGAAGACGUGCGGUCGUUCGCUCCGUCGUCACUUGAUCCCUGGCUGUCGACGAGAGCGGACGCUCCGUCGCAGCGGGGAAAAAGAGCUACGAUGCUGGCGCCAUCUGGUGUGAUGCCUUGGAACUAGCGUGCCACCUGCCUCUGCAACCGUCGUGCUCCAGUCGCCCGCACCGGCGUGAUUUCUUCAAGAUGGCGUCGUUGAUUUUCAAAUAAAUCAUUUCCCACUGUC